UGCCUAUUUCUGGAUAAUACUUUUCUUAUG
rnacentral:piRNA from 1 species